CUACGGGAUGCACCAGUGGGGAAUAUUGCACAAUGGGCGCAAGCCUGAUGCAGCGACGCCGCGUGAGUGAUGAAGUAUUUCGGUAUGUAAAGCUCUAUCAGCAGGGAAGAAAAUGACGGUACCUGACUAAGAAGCCCCGGCUAACUACGUGCCAGCAGCCGCGGUAAUACGUAGGGGGCAAGCGUUAUCCGGAUUUACUGGGUGUAAAGGGAGCGUAGGUGGCAAGGCAAGUCAGAAGUGAAAACCCAGAGCUCAACUUUGGGACUGCUUUUGAAACUGUCUAGCUAGAGUGCAGGAGAGGUAAGCGGAAUUCCUAGUGUAGCGGUGAAAUGCGUAGAUAUUAGGAGGAACACCAGUGGCGAAGGCGGCUUACUGGACUGUAACUGACACUGAGGCUCGAAAGCGUGGGGAGCAAACAGGAUUAGAUACCCUCGUAGUC
rnacentral:rRNA from 1 species